rnacentral:rRNA from 1 species
UUCGAUCUCAAAUCAGGUAGGACUACCCGCUGAACUUAAGCAUAUCAAUAAGCGGAGGAAAAGAAACUAACGAGGAUUCCCCUAGUAACUGCGAGUGAAGCGGGAAAAGCUCAAAUUUAAAAUCUGGCGUGCCUUUGGUCGUCCGAAUUGUAGUCUGGAGAAGCGUUUUCCGUGUUGGACCGUGUAUAAGUCUCUUGGAACAGGGCGUCGUAGAGGGUGAGAAUCCCGUCUUUGACACGGACUACCAAUGCUUUGUGAUGCGCUCUCAAAGAGUCGAGUUGUUUGGGAAUGCAGCUCAAAAUGGGUGGUAAAUUCCAUCUAAAGCUAAAUAUAGGCGAGAGACCGAUAGUGAACAAGUACCGUGAGGGAAAGAUGAAAAGCACUUUGGAAAGAGAGUUAAACAGUACGUG